GUAGGACUUUGACAAUCUAUCUCCACGAGUGGACUUAGAAAUUUUCUUGGAUACUUUUCGUAGAAGUUUCAACGAAGACUUAAAAACCUCGUCGCAGACGCGCGCGUAGCAAUGAAGUAAUCGAGUGUUUGUACCAUUAAAAUAAAAUUAUCGCGAAGUAGAAGCAGUGUUUGUUCGUUCGCGAUUCGCGAUUUAAACCAUAAGUGUUUUUGCAUAGACUGCGUGCAAUGCAGUCCUUAGAGUCAGUGUUUGUUCGCGUAGUUUUUUGAUUUUUUAACAGUCGCACGGACUGUAUUUAUAAAAGACAGUAGAGUUUCGCGAAAUAAAUUCAGUGAUCGUUCGUUAAUAAAUAACUACCGCGAAUUAGAGUCAGUGCAUCACUGAAGAGGAUCUCGACCAACUUCGAUGUCGACCUACCUCAUUUUCAACCAACUACAAAUCAUCCACCCUCAAUUUCGACCUAAAUCGCGGUCCAGUGUUUUGGAGCCAUCGCAGAACUUCUUAAGUAGUUAGAUCAUCGAGGGAACGAUCAUCGAG